CACGUAGGGCGCAAGCGUUGUCCGGAAUUAUUGGGCGUAAAGAGCUCGUAGGCGGUCUGUUGCGUCCGCUGUGAAAACUCGGGGCUUAACCCCGAGCCUGCAGUGGAUACGGGCAGACUAGAGGUAGGUAGGGGAGAAUGGAAUUCCCGGUGUAGCGGUGAAAUGCGCAGAUAUCAGGAGGAACACCGAUGGCGAAGGCAGCUCGCUGGGACGGUACUGACGCUGAGACGCGAAAGCGUGGGGAGCAAACAGG
rnacentral:rRNA from 1 species